AUACGUAGGGAGCGAGCGUUGUCCGGAAUUACUGGGCGUAAAGGGCGUGUAGGCGGAGAUCUAAGCAGGGUGUGAAAACUAUGGGCUCAACCCGUAGCCUGCAUUCUGAACUGGAUCCCUUGAGGGCAGGAGAGGAAAGUGGAAUUCCUAGUGUAGCGGUGAAAUGCGUAGAUAUUAGGAGGAACACCAGUGGCGAAGGCGGCUUUCUGGACUGUAACUGACACUGAGGCAUGAAAGCGUGGGUAGCAAACAGGAUUAGAUACCCUGGUAGUCCACGCCGUAAACGAUGGGUACUAGGUGUAGGAGGUAUCGACCCCUUCUGUGCCGUCGUUAACACAAUAAGUACCCCGCCUGGGGAGUACGGUCGCAAGACUAAAACUCAAAGGAAUUGACGGGG
rnacentral:rRNA from 1 species